rnacentral:tRNA from 1 species
UGGGGUGUAGCUCAGUGGUAGAGCACUUGCCUAGCAUGCUCAAGGACCCAGGUUCCAUUCCCAGCACCACAA